UUGAUGAUUCGAGAAGUGUGUCUAUUGCGUUAAUGCAUGCACAUAUGAGCUACUACAUGCAGCAGUGAUGAGCUAGCAUAAUAAAUUAGAUUGCAUAGAAGAAUUAUAUAUAAAUAUAAAAAUAAAUAUUACUGGACAUGAUAUAUAAUUUUGACAAAUAAAAUUUAUAUUUUUGAAAAAAAUAAUAUAUAUACACAUUAGAGCUUGUAUAAUAUAUAUAUUUCAUGCAAUAAAAUAUUGGAUAAGGGCAAGUAGCCUGAUUGGCAUAGAAGCAUGCAUCUCAGCGUGGUUCAAGGUUUGAGCCCUCUCUAUAUUAAAUAUUAUUUUUUUCCAUUUAUAAGCCCACCUAACACAAUACGUUUUUUAUAUAUGUAUAUAUAUUUUUUCGUUGAUUUGAAAAGCGGAUGAGGGCUAAUAGCCCGAUUGCACAUGCUACCAAGCAUAAGGUAGAGAGGGUUCAGGGUUCGAAUCUUUCCUUUGCCUUUUUUUUAUUUAUGAUUCUUUAUAAUUCUUUUCAUUAAAAAAUAUAAUAUUAAACUGUAAUAAUUGGAAGUAUUUUUAAAUCCUAAUUAACACUUUUCCUUAAAAUUAUAAUAUAACAAAUGUUUAGAUUUAAAAUUAUAAGAUAUAUAUAAAUCAUUUACUUAUAUACAUCUAGUUUUAUAGUAUUAACAUCACUUCACUACUAUUAGAAUAAUCACCUAUACAACGAUCAAUAGUUAAAUCAGCACCACCGCUAUAAUCACCACGUAUACAAUAUUACCACCAUUAUUAUCAUUAAAUCAUUGUUUUUAAUUUAAAUAUAGAGGGAGAUAGUAAAAAAUAUUUAAAGAAUUAUAGAAAUAAAAUGAAUUAUAGAUAGAG
rnacentral:misc_RNA from 1 species